UGAGCAAUCUGCCCUUCUCUUCGGAAUAAGCGUUGGAAACGACGUCUAAUGCCGAAUACGACCUCCUUUCGCAUGAUCGGAGGUGGAAAGCUCCGGCGGAGAAGGAUGAGCUCGCGGCCUAUCAGCUAGUUGGUGUGGGUAAUGGCCCACCAAGGCGACGACGGGUAGCCGGCCUGAGAGGGUGACCGGCCCACUCGGUGACGUAGGAACCGAACCGGACCCCGGACCCGAACGUACCCGUUACCCGGGGUAACGGGGGACCGGAGACCGGUAACGGGG
rnacentral:rRNA from 1 species